GAUAUAGUAGCUCAGAUGGUAAAGAAUCUGCCUGCAAUGCAGGAGACCCAGGUUUGAUCCCUGGAUCA
rnacentral:tRNA from 1 species